rnacentral:hammerhead_ribozyme from 1 species
AUUCAUCUGACAAGUCCCAGAUAGGACGAAACACGCGUCCUGGAU